GUCAUCUCGAUCUGUUUGCUCGUUGGUUCGCGUAGUGAAGCGUUGUUUGCUGAGAGAUGAUCUGCUGAUCGUCAUAAUUACGUAAUGUAUAACGUUCGACACAUCCUGUUUAAUUGAAGAAAAGUAAUUUCGUAACAAUAAGCGAAAAUUCAUGCAACUAGUUUGUCACAAACAAUCGUUCGGUUAAAACGUUAUUCUAAAAAAUUCGGUCACGACGGUUGAGUUGAUGACGUGCGGUGGAGUUGUGCAAUACAUUCCGAGAGCACGAAUCCUGAUAAAUCCUUCAGGGGUUCUCCAGGCACUCAUAUUCCACCCGGUCAUGACCGUGGAUCCGGAAUACGAUCUCUGCAGCGUCGAAAAUCCAAAGGAAAAUAUGGGACGAAUACCAUCUUCGCUUCGUUCACCUCCAAAUGCAGCCACCACACACACCUGCAUAUAUGAGGCCGGCAGAAACUCCAUUUUGCGUAAAGCAAGCGUAGCUGGAUGGAUGUUCAAUUUAUGCAAUUAAUGAAUGUUAAUCAUCACUGCACAAUGUACGUGAGGCUUACCGGUUCUCUCGGUUAGAUGUUGUCAGCACUUCGUUUAAAACGGUGUGGUAUUUUCAGCGGUGAAAAUUUUCUAACGUGUCGUGUGCCCGUGUUUGCCCAUGCCGUGUAAGGUGUUUACUUAUGGAGGGUUCAGGAGCUGAAAUAUGCGAUAAAAUAUGGCUACAAUCGAUGGGAAAUCGAUCAGUGAAAAUAUCUGAUGCCGCAGGAGCAUUAGUCGAGAGGAUUAAAGUGGAUCUACGGUUAACGAACAGCCUACCAGCCGUUAAAAAAUGAUUUCUGAAGGUAGAUGCAACCCUACCACCAGGCAGCAUUUCAUUUCUCCUUUUUAUGGCCUUAUAAUGGCCUUGGUGGGGGGGCUUACAAAGCCCGUUUUUGCUCGUGUGAACGAAGCUGACAGAACGAUCGUCCUGAUCGUCCCCCCCCAGGACCCCCAAGUACCUUGGCGUAGUGAUUCAUGACCACCUCAGCUGGAAGAGCCACGAGGAGUAUGCUGUGACCAAAGCUCUGAAGGGCGCGAUCACGAAACAUCAUGGUGGCCCUACCAGUGGUAAGAGGAAGCUGAUUGCCGCACCGCCCCGGGCGGAAGCAGCAACUGCCGACUGCUUGCGCGGGCGCAAGGGUAUCCGUAUCUGUGGAAGUUGCAAGUGUGCUGGCCAGAAUGGUGCGUAUCGACCUGCUGUUACAAGAGGACGUCCGGUGCUAUCGGAGGGCAGAAUCUUUCGAGAGUACCUGAACGUCAAAGGGCUGCCCGCGUCCUCAGAUUGCCCCCAUCAUCUGGUCGAGCGUCGGGUGAAGGUAGCAGCCCGCGGUUGCGGUUGCGGUUUGGUGGGACAGGCACGCGAUCGUGCCGCAGAGGACGGAGGGGAGCGCUUUCCUGGCUAAGUGCUAGAACGGUUGGCAGGGCAUUCCCUCAAAAGGCGUAUACUAAAGGGGGUAGGGCAGCUGCAGCGGCAUCAACAGGGUGGUGCGUGCCCUACCCUGCUGUUUUUUGAACUCCUUCUAGCGCCACUGGACCAGCCAAUUGCAAGUGGCCGUCAGAAAGAAGACCAAAUUGUUAACGCUAAGGAAGUACCGACUCGAGCAGAUGCAAACGCAGCAGGCGCAGCAGUAGCAGCAGAAUCAGAUCACGUAGACAAGAGACAUUAAAAGAUGCGCAAGUUGCGGAAAUCCGCCCAGCAGAUUAACGAACGGCAAACAUGAGCGCGCAACUGGCUGAAGGCAGCGCAAUCUCAGUGACCGAUCCUGUUCACUCGGGGUGCCGCUUUGUUAAAAUGACUAUGACGAGACUUCAAGGAGACAUCCAACACAAUCGAACGGAACGCAUGUGGAUUCUAGCAAGCCGCAAGGUACUGUGAACAGGUGCGACGGACCCCCGGAGCAGGCUGGCUCGAUCAGGGCAACCGAACGGCUCGUCCCCUGAACGGAUUGGCAGGACGUGUGGGAUCGACGAGCGACAAAGCCAAGUGCGAGCAGCAACAUCCGCUGGACGCACCGACUCACCCGCGAUGUGCACAGUUGGUGCAACCGGAAUCACGGCAAGGUCGACUGCCACCUAACUCAGGUACUGACCGGGCACGGAUUCUUCCGGGCGUACCUGAGCAGGAUGGGGUUGAUAGAUUCUCCGGACUGCACCAACUGCAAUGGGGUACCGGAGACUGCUGAGCAUGUGGUGUUUGAGUGCCCUCGCUUCGCGAAAGAGCGUCACCUCCAUCUUGAUGGCUGCACACCCGAGGAUCUGGUACAGAAUAUGACGGCGCAGAUCAGUGCCGAGCGUUGGGACGAGAUCAGGCAGGGCCUAAGCGAAAUCACCUUCAGCGCGAAUGGAACCGCUACCAGGGCGAGGAACGACAGCGCCGAGCAACCGUAACAAUGGCAAGCACGAUCGCAGUAGUGGUAGCGCGGUGGCACGUACGAAACGCGUCCCAGCGUUGCGAUCGGACGGCACGGAUGCCAAGGCGGAGGGAACAAUGAAGUAGUAAGGAGGCCUAGGAGGUGCUGGUACCCAGUUCCUUGGGUUGCCGGAAUUGGAAUGUGUACGGGGGGUCUGGUUUUUCGUAGAAUAAAGUAAUAUCUA